UUUAACAUGAGAGUUUGAUCCUGGCUCAGGAUGAACGCUGGCGGCGUGCUUAACACAUGCAAGUCGAACGAAGCACUUUAUUUGAUUUCUUCGGAAUGAAGAUUUUGUGACUGAGUGGCGGACGGGUGAGUAACGCGUGGGUAACCUGCCUCAUACAGGGGGAUAACAGUUGGAAACGACUGCUAAUACCGCAUAAGCGCACAGGGUCGCAUGACCUGGUGUGAAAAACUCCGGUGGUAUGAGAUGGACCCGCGUCUGAUU
rnacentral:rRNA from 1 species